AAUUCAUUAUAAACACUAAUAUAAUUAGAUCCGUUCUUUAUAGACAAACUUGGGAUUUACGAUCUCAGGGAUUCGCGUCUGAUUAGCUAGUUGGUAAGGCAAUAGCUUACCAAGGCGACAAUCAAUAACUGAUCCGAGAGGAUGAUCAACCACACUGGGACUAAGACAGGGCCCAGACUCCUACGAGAGGCA
rfam:Cajanus cajan CcLG01_143, whole genome shotgun sequence.